rnacentral:rRNA from 1 species
UACGGAGGAUGCAAGCGUUAUCCGGAUUUAUUGGGUUUAAAGGGUGCGUAGGCGGCCUGUUAAGUCAGAGGUGAAAGGUUGCGGCUUAACCGCAGAAUUGCCUUUGAUACUGGCAGGCUUGAAUAAAGUUGAGGUAGGCGGAAUGUGGCAAGUAGCGGUGAAAUGCAUAGAGAUGCCACAGAACACCGAUUGCGAAGGCAGCUUACUAAGCUUUGAUUGACGCUGAGGCACGAAAGCGUGGGGAUCAAACAGG